GCGCGGUCGUUGGCGGGCGCACGGGGCCGGCCGCUUAGCCGAGGGCAGCGCGGCCUCGGUGGCAGAGCCGCUCCCUCGGUGGGGAGGAAUCGCGAUCCUGCCAGGCAGAAGGCCAUUGCUGAAAGGGGACUUCAGGGAGUGAGUGCAGGAUGACUCAGCAGGGAGCUGUUCUUCAGGGUUACAAUAAUGAACUAGUGAAAUGUAUUGAAGAUUUAUGUAUGCAAAAAGAAGAAUUGAACAAGCAAAUCCAGCAAGCAGAAGAGGAAAAGAAUAAACUCCAGCAUGAAAUCCAAGUCCUCAGUGAACAGCUGGAGUGUGUAUGUGAAAACCUGGCCCAAAAAGUGGCUUCACGGAAUGAGCUUGAUAAAAUACUUGCUGAAACUGAAGCUGCUUACAUGAAGAUUUUGGAUAGCUCUAGAACUUUACUUAAUGUCCUGAAGAAGGAAGUGGGAAGCUUAAAGCAUUCACCUGAUCUGAAAACCAAUGUAACGUGAAACAGUCAAAUGUUUGGACUCUGCCGUGCUAAAAUUCCACUAGGAGGCUGUGGAAUCUGACUCUCCUCUUUGCUGGUGAAGUAUUCCAUUGAGGCCUCCUGUGGCACUCUGCCAUACACAUUCAUGGUGUGCAUGUGGAAUGUUUUCUUUGAGAAUGUCAGAAGGAAACUACCUGUACAGCAGCAGUUUAACUGAAACAAGAUUUGGUUUUAUGCCAUGCUGGUUUUGUUUUAAAAAGUGUUUAGAAAUGACGCAUCUAUAAAUAUGUGUAUUUAUAUAGGAUACAUAAACAAGUGCUUCCAAUGAACUGAUCGCAUAGUACCUCACUGAGAAUGUUAAUGUCUUUAUCCCCUUGAUUCACAGUGAUACUCAGUAGUAAUCUGCCCAAAUAAGGGACAGAUCUGGGAAUGGAGGCUUUGCUUUUUCAGCCUUAAUUGAAUGCUCUGACUUGGAUGGGUUCCCAGGGAUUCGUGUCCUGUUUGGUGUUUUGACAUAAACAGACAGGAUUAUGCAUUCUCAACCUGUGUCUUGGGGGUAGGGAUAGAUAUAACUGAUUAGAGGCACAAUUUUCUGCUGUUACUUCCUCCACAUUGCAUGCAGCUUGAUGAUGAUAUUUAAAUGUGUUACUCCUUUCUCCAUAGAUAGACCCUGCAUGACAAGGUAUCCCAGCUUCUGGGCAGCCACUUUCACUUUCCAGACGUGCUCUUUUCAAGCCCCUGCUUUGGGACUUGUAGGAGGUGGGGCAGAGGAACAGAAAGAACUUUUAAUGAUAGUUGCUAAUUAAUUACCUUUCAAAGCCUAACCUUUUUCAGGUACCUCGCCUUUAUAGAUCCUAUUGUUUUGUCAGGCUGCUUAUUACCUUAUACUAGUCCAUGUAAGACCACCAGGUUUUUUAGGCAUGGAGGCUCCUUGAUGCUUGAAGGUAGUGGGAAGUCUGAAUUCUAGUCCAUCUGUAACAGCAUACAGAGCACAUGUAACAGCAGCAGGCAGUGAGGCAAGCAUGUUCCACCACAGCUUGUUUUGGGCUAAUGGAUUGAAGUAGUAUGGCAAAUGAGGAACUCCAGAUAUCUGGAUAGAUUGGGCUCUUCUAUAGUGAAAAUAAACUGGCUGUAUGAGUUAGGAUUAAGAACUAUUCUAACCUUGCACAGGUAACAACCUGACAGCAGUAUUCAUAUAUUAACAUAUAAUAUGUAUAUAUGUGUGUGUGUAUACUCAGACAUACAUUAAAAUGUAUAUAUAAAUAUACUCACCAAUUUUUUAAGUAUAGAGAGUUCUUGGUAGAAAGCUGUCUAAUACUUCAGUACUAUCUGCCAUUAGAAAAGACAAUUUAAAUAGGUUGGACAUUAACAGCUUGCAGGUUGUGUACCCCGUUUUUUCAGUAGUCUUCACAGUCUUGCUUCCACAUAAGCCAUCAUUUGUAGCAUCAUCCUCAUCUUCCUCCUGCAACAGCUUUUGUUGUCUCUAUUUCCUAGCUCCUUGUUUACCAUGUUUUUAGUUAUCCCAAGCUGCUGACCAGAAACAUGCUGCUCUUUUGACACGUGCUGGGUCAGAGAUGCUUUCACUAUCUUGAUAUUGUCCAGACAUGUUCUGGCACACUUGGGAAAAUUUUUUGCAUGAUAAACAGAUUACGUGCAAUUUGACAGUGCCCCAAAAGUUAGGUUUGGAUGGGGUGAUAAUAUUAUAUUCCAGAGAAACAACAGACACCUGAUCUCAGUUUCAUCCUAAAAAAGGGUGUAGGUAAAAGCAAUGGAUGGCUGGGAAUUUUCCUGAUAUGCUAUGGAGAUUAAAGAACAUAAGUUUAUUUUGUUUGUCAUUGAGGAUGAAUAAUAUAAUCUUCUCCAGAUAAAGGUCUAUAUGAGAUGCUGUAAUUUAAUUUGUAUUAAGGCUAUGUUCAGAGUGAUGUGAGUUUGUUUUAGAAAUGUUGCUCUGUGUUUGAGAAAAGAUUAUGACUUGAAAUUAGAAAGAGGAAAAGGAAUAAAGUGCUGGAUCUUGCAGAUAAGGAUCUCAGUGAGGAAGCUGUUAUAGGUCAGUUGUGUCUUCUUCAAAGCUCUGAGUGUGACCCGUAUUGCAAAUUAAUAAAUAUGUGCUAAGACAGAGUGGAGUAUGGCACAAUAAGGCUACUUGGAAAAAGUUAUGUCAAGGCAUUGUAUGUAUUCAGCAAUUUUCUUUGCAAUUCUGCUCUAUUUUACAACCUAAUCUAUUCCCCACUAAGAUGUGCUAGAGAUAAACAUUGCAGAUGCCUUUGUGUGCAGAGAAGAAGGAGAGGCAAUUAAAAGUCUGCAUGCUGUGAAGUCUCUGGGUGCCAACAGUGUCUGCACAGACCUUUACAAUGUUCUGGGGAACAAUAGGUUUUCCUGCUGUCUGGGGUGACCGAACGCAAAUAGUUUUUGAAUGAGGACAGUAACUCAGUUAUUUUCAUGCUGGCUAAAGUCCUGCUGGUUUGCAUAAAGGUUUCCAUUUUUAUUUACUGAUAGCAAAGCCUUGGUGACAAAGUGGUUCCUCCAGAUCAGAUGCUGUUUUAAUAAAACACAUCAUUUCAUUACUGACAAAGAAAGGGCAAACUUCUGAUAAUGUAAUGAAAGAACCUGGGGCACUAUCUGGUAUUGGCCUCCAUCAAAGACAAGGAAAAGCACAAAAGAACAAAACUGCUGGCCAUGGUCUGAAUCAAAUGGGUUGCCUCCAAGUGUAGCAAGUGAGAGGGCAUUUCUUUCUUUUAACUUGCUCCCUCCUACAUCGUUACUGGACUGAGUAAGAAAAAAAAAAUUCUUUUGAAUAAGAAUAAAUGGGAUAAUUUGCUUUAGGAAAAGCUAGUUCCACAUAGGAGGCAGCUAAAGCUGCUCCAUGGGAGCUUUAUUUACUUUUCUUGUAAAAAAAUUUUUAUAAUGCAAAUUCUAAAAGCAAGCAGCUAUUGUAAGGAAGAGGAACACCAAAAUGUUGUGUUUGCUUGUCAUUGCAGACCUUCUAUACUUCAGUAACUUCACUCCUAUGUGCAGUUUCUUGGCUGCAAGUACUGCUUGUCCAAAAUGUGGAUUUUUUAUCUCAGACCUGUUCAGUCUAAAAUUCCUUUUCUUAUUUUACAUAAGCUUAAUAAAGCAGUAUACAUUUUUACUUAUAUUGCAUGUAUAUUAUAUAUACAUGUUAUAUAUUACUUAUGUAAGUAUGUUGUUACUUAGAUAGGUAUGAAACUUACCUAUAACUCUUAAGUAGAAAGUUUUUUCCCAUGGCUUAAUAUGCUAUGUAUUACUACAUGUGUUACCACACUGAUGUAGCUGGAGUGAGGCUUGGUUCUCAGACAUUAAGAUGACCUUUGAACUUUGAUUAGCUGAUAAAAAAAUUUAUAAGUUUCAGGUGUUGGCAAAGUCAGAAGCAGCCAAACAUUGGGAAGUGUAACUUGACUUUGCAAAUUUAAAUUAAAAGUUGCAUAUUGCUUUACAUGGAACUUGCCUUAGUUUCAAAUAACUUCUGCAUCUGGUUGUGUGGUGGGAGAGCACAGCCAAAUGUUUUAAAGAAGUAUCAAAAGCCUUAGAACUAUUUAAAUUGGAAAGAACCUCCCAGAUGGUCAAGUCCAACCAUUAACCCAAAACUGCCAAGCCCACCACUAAACCAUGUCCCUUAGUGCCACAUCUUAGUGUCUUUUAAAUGAAUAAUAGCUGCUUGAGCUACUAGAUGCUACCUCUGCUACACUGGGAUUGUUACAUUGUUACAUGAUGUAACUUGUAGUUAAAAUAAUCUCAUUAGCAGGAGCACAAAUCCCCUUACACUAACUAAAGUAGUUGUACAGUGUUAGCGGAUUUCAAAAUGUAAACUUCUGAUUCUUGUGCUGUGGUCUGUAUAAGAGCUAAGAAGGUAACAAAAAAUAAUCUUAAAAUUCUGGAAUGAGUUUUGAGAUAUUAAUUAGAAUUUAAUAGGUGCCCAAGGAUUUUAUGCCAUAAGACUCGCUGAAAGUUAGUGGGUCUUGUGCUCUGCUUGGUGUUGCUCUGGUUUUUAAGAUUCAGGAUUCUGCAUGCAUUUCUCAGGGACCUGGCUCCUGAAAGCAGGGCAUUUUAUUUGUCCUUCUUCCCCCUACCCUCUGAAGUUACAUUUCUGUUUCUUGUAAAGAAAAGGCUGAAAGCGCAAAAGCAGGUAGAAAGGCUCAGAAAUGGAAAUAUAAAAAAUUCUAAAUAUUUUUCAUGAUUUAGCAACAGUCUCACACUUUGUGCUUGGCCUGAUGUGUCUUUUUCAGUGCCUGAAGCUAGUAAUGGUCGAAGUACUGUUGCAGAUUUCACACCAUGUUGUACUUCAGCCAGGUCAGAUGCAAUGAUGGCUCUAAGAAAGUCCCCCAUAAUCUGUGGUUGUAGCAUAACUGUUAACUGGCUUCCUGUACUGUGUAUUUAAAUUCCUCUCUUAGUACCUUUAGCAGCUACACCCAGCUUUCCACAGUCAUUAUUGGUUACUCAGAACUGUCAGGGAAGCCCCUUUUAAUCCAGCCUCAAUAUGAUCUGCAGGUGUCAGGGAACAAGGUGUGGUUUGGAAAUGGAAUUGUGGAGCUUCCAGGCCAGCAGAAGCUGGAAGCUCUAUGGGAUGGCAGGGGAAGGAAGGCUGCUGACUCCUGGCAGAGAGGGCAUGCAGCACCAAUACAGCAGCGGCCUGUCUUCUGCCAGAAGAAGUAUUAACCUGACAUGAUGCUUCCCAGAAUCAGGAAUCUUAGAGGAACAAGCAAUUUCAGGGCUGAAAGAGGCUCCAAGGGAUCUCCUAACAUCACAAUGUAUUUGUUCCCUGCAAGUGAAUGCAGGAAAGGUAAAUGGGAAGAUGACUGAACAGAAGGGGUUUGUAGUACUUGCAGAGCCUGCUUUGGAGUCUGAAAGGCCAAAAAUAUGAUCAUGACAUCUAGCUGAAGACUGAAGAUGUGAUUUAGAAAUGGAACAGUUUAUCAGACUAAAGCUAAAGAUUGAAGUAAGUAUGCUGUAUAAAGAGUAGGACAAAGACAUUUUAAUAAAAUUAACUCUGAUCAGGAGCGAAUAAGCAAUUGACAAUAUCCAGAGGAAUUUUUCCAAGAGGAGAACAUCAGAAGAACUGCCAGAAUUGUGUAAUUUUUCAAUAUUUUUUUUAUUAAAACAUAUCAAUUAGUAUCUAACAUGAAGAAAAAUGUAUCACAAUAGAAAUAAUUGAAUCCUUGGCAAAAUGAACAUGGAUUUUUAUGCCAUUCCACAAUUAUUUUUGACUAAUGCUUUUAAUUUGGCCCAAACAAUAGUAAGGAGGCUUUGUGGGUGUCAUAAUAAGCAAUCUAGACUUGAAUUAUUUGUUUCAGUCAUCAUAAAGAGGGGACAAUAGAGGAAACAUGACAAAAAUAUAGACAACAAUGAGUAGGGCUGCAUAUAAUUUUGGCUCUCCUAUUUUUAUAAUAAAUCUUUGUGGUUUGCUUAAAGCCUCAACUCCCAGAUUCAUGUAGUAAAUAAUCUAAGAUUUCAUUACACAAGAACAAGUUUCUGAUUUCUGCAAUUGCAAAAAAAAAAAAAAAAAAAAGGCUUAUAUACAAAGCAAGAAGAAGAACCAAAAUACAUCUUUUUAAGAGAUAUAAAGUAAAAUCCACCUUUACUCUAAAAAAAUUGAAAGGUAUAAGGAUAGGAUGCUGCUAUUAGAGCUCAGGUCAAUAUUUAUUGCUCAGACAGACAUUGCAAAGCCUUAUAUCCCAUCCCUUUCCUUUGAUUCUCUCAGAGCCUGGAAAAUAACAUGCCUCUGCCCUCUGUUUUAUGUGCUUUUUCCUUCAGCAGAUGCUGCCAAGCCCAGCGUCUGAUUUCAGUCCUGAUCUGGAAUAACUCCAGGGGCGUACACGAAGCCAUCUCUUUCUUCCCUCCUAAGGGGGUGGUGGCAGGGAGGAGACUUAAGACUGUUGUUCUCCGUCCCCGUGUCCCUCCUGCAGCAGCAGCCAACAUUGUUCCUUUUUAUUUACUUCCCCCUCUCUGUAAACCAGCAGGGCUCGCAGCAGAGGGAUGCAGCUCUCAUUAGAGUAAUUAGGCUGAUUUAUGAGUGAGUGGCACAGUGAAGGAGAGCUUUCCUAAUACAGUGUUCCCCAUGGGAGGCUGGGCACGCCCCCAGCUGCUGGCAGUGCAGUGCUGGGCCUCCCCGCUGGCUCGGGUAGAGAGCCCCCUUCUCUUCAACCUUUAAUAUCAGUGAAAAUGGACAAACACAUGCAAUAAACACUUUUUUCCUUCGCAUGAUAUUCUUCACAAGUUGUUUGUUCCAAGCUAAUAUUAGAAGUCUAAUUAAAGUAAUAGGAGAGAGAGAUCCUUAGUGUUAACUAAGCGUACAUUUUGUCUUAUAAAGGACUCUUCAAGCAAGUGUGUUGUGUCACUGGAACAGCAAGAGCUGGUAGGGCUUUGUUCCUCUCCUGCUCUGUGGAAGUUUUACAUUACUUUUAUGAAAGGCUUAUGUAUGAAAUUUCCUUCUUCCUGGUGUUACGAAUAUCCUUUGUUCAUCACAUUUCCUUGGUAUCUUCAUGGCAAGUCCAAGACUUCUCUGCUGCACUUUGGAAGUCUCAUUUGAAAUGUACAUGGGCCUAUUUAAAAACACAUUUAAGCUUUUAAAAAUGUAUUAUGCAAGCAAACAAAAAAUAAAAUAUCAUUAGCAAUUC